CUCUGUGACUCCUACGGGAGGCAGCAGUGGGGAAUAUUGGACAAUGGGCGCAAGCCUGAUCCAGCCAUGCCGCGUGAGUGAUGAAGGCCUUAGGGUUGUAAAGCUCUUUUGUCCGGGACGAUAAUGACGGUACCGGAAGAAUAAGCCCCGGCUAACUUCGUGCCAGCAGCCGCGGUAAUACGAAGGGGGCUAGCGUUGCUCGGAAUCACUGGGCGUAAAGGGCGCGUAGGCGGCCUUGUAAGUUGGGGGUGAAAGCCCGUGGCUCAACCACGGAAUUGCCUUCGAUACUGCUUGGCUUGAGUGUGGUAGAGGUUGGUGGAACUGCGAGUGUAGAGGUGAAAUUCGUAGAUAUUCGCAAGAACACCGGUGGCGAAGGCGGCCAACUGGACCAUCACUGACGCUGAGGCGCGAAAGCGUGGGGAGCAAACAGGAUUAGAUACCCUGGUAG
rnacentral:rRNA from 1 species